GCCGAGGUAGCUCAGUUGGUAGAGCAGCGGACUGAAAAUCCGCGUGUCGCCGGUUCAAUUCCGGCCCUCGGCA
rnacentral:tRNA from 1 species